GAUGAACGCUGGCGGCGUGCCUAAUACAUGCCAGUCGAGCGAACAGACGAGGAGCUUGCUCCUCUGACGUUAGCGGCGGAUGGGUGAGUAACACGUGGAUAACCUACCUAUAAGACUGGGAUAACUUCGGGAAACCGGAGCUAAUACCGGAUAAUAUAUUGAACCGCAUGGUUCAAUAGUGAAAGACGGUUUUGCUGUCACUUAUAGAUGGAUCCGCGCCGCAUUAGCUAGUUGGUAAGGUAACGGCUUACCAAGGCAACGAUGCGUAGCCGACCUGAGAGGGUGAUCGGCCACACUGGAACUGAGACACGGUCCAGACUCCUACGGGAGGCAGCAGUAGGGAAUCUUCCGCAAUGGGCGAAAGCCUGACGGAGCAACGCCGCGUGAGUGAUGAAGGUCUUCGGAUCGUAAAACUCUGUUAUUAGGGAAGAACAAAUGUGUAAGUAACUAUGCACGUCUUGACGGUACCUAAUCAGAAAGCCACGGCUAACUACGUG
rnacentral:rRNA from 1 species